CAGAACUGCGCCCAGCCCACAGCCUGCCCUCGGGAAAACACACACUCGGGCUCUCCUAGCUCGAGACGCCUGGGGCCCCUAGUUUAGCACCCCAGCUGCUCCAGGCCACCCAGGGCCUCCACACCUUCCGGCAGUGCUGUCUGGGGCUUCCCUUUGUGACGCUGGCUGGGCCAGCAGGGCGCCCGUCCAGCCCCCUCUUCCUGCCAGAGCCAGAGAGCCCACCUUUCUGCCCCCUCCCAGGAGGGCGGGCCAAGUGCCCCCAGGCGGAGAUUAAGCAACAAUGCGGGCUUCAGAGAACAGUGAGCGCCUGGUUCUGAGCCCAGUGACGCCAUCCAGCAGGACAAUGUGGCCCUGAGCACCUGCCAAGGGACAGCCCAUAUGCUCUCCACCCAGACAAGUCGCAGAGUGCUGUCAGCCCAACAAGGAAGGGGACGAAGGAAAGACGGGGCUAACAAGCCGCCAACCAGCCCCCGCCCAGCCGCUGUGCUCCGGGCCCUGGGGGUCCGCGAGUCUCCAUUCACUGCAGCCCAGAGCCCAGCUGGAAAGGGCUGCGACUCUGAUCCAGCCCCAGACAGGUGCAGAAUCCUCCACCCAAAACCCUGUGAGCAGGAGGCCUGGAACUGAGAGUUCUGGAAGCCAGGACAGGACAGGCCGACCCAGGCACUGAAAUGCUGACCUUCCUGCAGCAGAUGGUGCACUGCCUGCAAAGGAUGGGAACAGGGCCACCGGGACACCUGGUGGCAUCUGGAUUCGGAGUGGCAGAUAAGGGCUGCAGACCAGCAUCUCUUCGGAACAAUCCAGGCAGCCAAGACGAAAAGCAAAGGAAAAUAAAGGGAAGUUCCCUGGGUGGCAGGAGAGGUGGCCCGGGAGGCACAGGGCGCCUGCUGGGGUGCACGUCUCCGCUGUGCUCCGCGCCCCACGUCGGGCUCAGGCGCUCACGUGUUUGAAUUAUUCAAAACAACAAUAAAAAUUCCUUAGGUGAAA